rnacentral:lncRNA from 1 species
CUCUUCUGUUGCAUGCUCUCAUUCUAAUUUUCAAGAUUAAUUCAGAAGAUGACUUCAAACUUUGCUACUAUAACUCCAGGCACCCUUCAAAUAUGAAAUUCAGAUUAUAGUGUCACAAUGAGUUCAUCAUUGUUUUGCUAUUCAUGCUUCCAUGGUUCCUCACUUCUCUCGAUCCUGUGGGCUCUUGUUAAUGAUGUUAAGUCUACCAGUCGCUCAAGCCAGAAAUUCUGCCACUCUCAUUCUCACAACUGCUUUCAAAGAUACCUUAUAGACGUCGAUCUAGAAGACUUGUCAUCUUUGGUGCUCUGCUAUCAGUGA